rnacentral:rRNA from 1 species
UACAGAGGUCUCAAGCGUUGUUCGGAUUCAUUGGGCGUAAAGGGUGCGUAGGCGGCGCGGUAAGUCGGGUGUGAAAUCUCGGAGCUUAACUCCGAAACUGCAUUCGAUACUGCCGUGCUUGAGGACUGGAGAGGAGACUGGAAUUCCACGUGUAGCAGUGAAAUGCGUAGAGAUGUGGAGGAACACCGAUGGCGAAGGCAGCCUCCUGGGCCAGCACUGACGCUCAUGCACGAAAGCGUGGGGAGCAAACAGG